AAACUGCGAUAAUUAAUGUGAAUUGCAGAAUUCUGUGAAUCAUCAAGACCUUGAACGCAAACUGCGCCUACGGGUCCACCUGUAGGCACGCUUGUUUGAGUGUCGAUUCAUUCACUAUCCCUUUAUUAUUCCUAUUUUUUUUUUAAGUGGGUAAUAAUAAAGGGGAAUUGGAGGUGUGGUUUUUCCUCUUUUUUUUUUAAAAAAAAGAGGGGGGGACCACUCCUUUUAAGUUCAUCUUCGGACUUUGCUUUUCAAAAAAACGAAUCAGUUUCAGCAAAGAGGUCCAGCCAGUAGGUACCAAUACGUUGGUUUAUCGAAAACUCACAUCUCUCUUGUCUAAAUUUGACAUUCGUUUUUGAAGCAAUAUAAAUCAAGUUCGAAUAAAAGGAAAGAAUCAAAACAACCGAUCAUUUCUCAACAAUUCGACCUCAAAUCAAGUGGGAUUACCCGCUGAAUUUAAG
rnacentral:misc_RNA from 1 species